rnacentral:misc_RNA from 1 species
UCCAUUGGAGUCUCUUUCA